rnacentral:rRNA from 1 species
GACACGGCCCAGACUCCUACGGGAGGCAGCAGUGGGGAAUAUUGGACAAUGGGGGGAACCCUGAUCCAGCCAUGCCGCGUGUGUGAAGAAGGCCUUUUGGUUGUAAAGCACUUUAAGCGAGGAGGAGGCUUACCUGGUUAAUACCUGGGAUAAGUGGACGUUACUCGCAGAAUAAGCACCGGCUAACUCUGUGCCAGCAGCCGCGGUAAUACAGAGGGUGCAAGCGUUAAUCGGAUUUACUGGGCGUAAAGCGCGCGUAGGUGGCUAAUUAAGUCAAAUGUGAAAUCCCCGAGCUUAACUUGGGAAUUGCAUUCGAUACUGGUUAGCUAGAGUAUGGGAGAGGAUGGUAGAAUUCCAGGUGUAGCGGUGAAAUGCGUAGAGAUCUGGAGGAAUACCGAUGGCGAAGGCAGCCAUCUGGCCUAAUACUGACACUGAGGUGCGAAAGCAUGGGGAGCAAACAGGAUUAGAUACCCUGGUAGUCCAUGCCGUAAACGAUGUCUACUAGCCGUUGGGGCCCUUGAGGCUUUAGUGGCGCAGCUAACGCGAUAAGUAGACCGCCUGGGGAGUACGGUCGCAAGACUAAAACUCAAAUGAAUUGACGGGGGCCCGCACAAGCGGUGGAGCAUGUGGUUUAAUUCGAUGCAACGCGAAGAACCUUACCUGGCCUUGACAUAGUAAGAACUUUCCAGAGAUGGAUUGGUGCCUUCGGGAACUUACAUACAGGUGCUGCAUGGCUGUCGUCAGCUCGUGUCGUGAGAUGUUGGGUUAAGUCCCGCAACGAGCGCAACCCUUUUCCUUAUUUGCCAGCACUUCGGGUGGGAACUUUAAGGAUACUGCCAGUGACAAACUGGAGGAAGGCGGGGACGACGUCAAGUCAUCAUGGCCCUUACGGCCAGGGCUACACACGUGCUACAAUGGUCGGUACAAAGGGUUGCUACUGCGCGAGCAGAUGCUAAUCUCAAAAAGCCGAUCGUAGUCCGGAUCGCAGUCUGCAACUCGACUGCGUGAAGUCGGAAUCGCUAGUAAUCGCGGAUCAGAAUGCCGCGGUGAAUACGUUCCC